CCUACGGGAGGCAGCAGUGGGGAAUAUUGCACAAUGGGGGAAACCCUGAUGCAGCGACGCCGCGUGAGUGAAGAAGUAUUUCGGUACGUAAAGCUCUAUCAGCAGGGAAGAAAAUGACGGUAUCUGACUAAUAAGCCCCGGCUAACUACGUGCCAGCAGCCGCGGUAAUACGUAGGGGGCAAGCGUUAUCCGGAUUUACUGGGUGUAAAGGGAGCGUAGACGGCAGGUCAAGUCUGGAGUGAAAUCCCAUGGCUUAACCAUGAAACUGCAUUGGAAACUGUGCAGCUAGAGUGCAGUAGAGGUAAGCGGAAUUCCUAGUGUAGCGGUGAAAUGCGUAGAUAUUAGGAGGAACACCAGUGGCGAAGGCGGCUUACUGGACUGUAACUGACGUUGAGGCUCGAAAGCGUGGGGAGCAAACAGGAUUAGAUACCCGUGUAGUC
rnacentral:rRNA from 1 species